CCGGGAUUAGGAAAAUUGGUAAAUCCGCCCGCCUUAGAAGCGGUUUUUUCUCAGUUCGAGUCUGAGAUCCCGGACCA
rnacentral:tRNA from 2 species